rnacentral:rRNA from 1 species
UAACAUGAGAGUUUGAUCCUGGCUCAGGAUGAACGCUGGCGGCGUGCUUAACACAUGCAAGUCGAACGAAGCACUUUAUUUGAUUUCCUUCGGGACUGAUUAUUUUGUGACUGAGUGGCGGACGGGUGAGUAACGCGUGGGUAACCUGCCUUGUACAGGGGGAUAACAGUCAGAAAUGACUGCUAAUACCGCAUAAGCGCACAGGACCGCAUGGUCCGGUGUGAAAAACUCCGGUGGUAUAAGAUGGACCCGCGUUGGAUUAGCUAGUUGGUGAGGUAACGGCCCACCAAGGCGACGAUCCAUAGCCGACCUGAGAGGGUGACCGGCCACAUUGGGACUGAGACACGGCCCAAACUCCUACGGGAGGCAGCAGUGGGGAAUAUUGCACAAUGGGGGAAACCCUGAUGCAGCGACGCCGCGUGAGCGAAGAAGUAUUUCGGUAUGUAAAGCUCUAUCAGCAGGGAAGAUAAUGACGGUACCUGACUAAGAAGCACCGGCUAAAUACGUGCCAGCAGCCGCGGUAAUACGUAUGGUGCAAGCGUUAUCCGGAUUUACUGGGUGUAAAGGGAGCGCAGGCGGUGCGGCAAGUCUGAUGUGAAAGCCCGGGGCUCAACCCCGGUACUGCAUUGGAAACUGUCGUACUAGAGUGUCGGAGGGGUAAGCGGAAUUCCUAGUGUAGCGGUGAAAUGCGUAGAUAUUAGGAGGAACACCAGUGGCGAAGGCGGCUUACUGGACGAUAACUGACGCUGAGGCUCGAAAGCGUGGGGAGCAAACAGGAUUAGAUACCCUGGUAGUCCACGCCGUAAACGAUGAGUGCUAGGUGUUGGAUCCUUUCCGGGAUUCAGUGCCGCAGCUAACGCAUUAAGCACUCCGCCUGGGGAGUACGACCGCAAGGUUGAAACUCAAAGGAAUUGACGGGGGCCCGCACAAGCGGUGGAGCAUGUGGUUUAAUUCGAAGCAACGCGAAGAACCUUACCAAGUCUUGACAUCCUUCUGACCGGUACUUAACCGUACCUUCUCUUCGGAGCAGGAGUGACAGGUGGUGCAUGGUUGUCGUCAGCUCGUGUCGUGAGAUGUUGGGUUAAGU